rnacentral:rRNA from 1 species
GAUGAACGCUGGCGGCAUGCCUAAUACAUGCAAGUCGAACGAAACUUCUUUAUCACCGAGUGCUUGCACUCACCGAUAAAGAGUUGAGUGGCGAACGGGUGAGUAACACGUGGGCAACCUGCCCAAAAGAGGGGGAUAACACUUGGAAACAGGUGCUAAUACCGCAUAACCAUAGUUACCGCAUGGUAACUAUGUAAAAGGUGGCUAUACUACCGCUUUUGGAUGGGCCCGCGGCGCAUUAGCUAGUUGGUAGGGUAAAGGCUUACCAAGGCAAUGAUGCGUAGCCGAAUUGAGAGGUUGAUCGGCCACAUUGGGACUGAGACACGGCCCAAACUCCUACGGGAGGCAGCAGUAGGGAAUCUUCCACAAUGGGCGAAAGCCUGAUGGAGCAACGCCGCGUGGGUGAAGAAGGUCUUCGGAUCGUAAAACCCUGUUGUUAGAGAAGAAAGUGCGUGAGAGUAACUGUUCACGUUUCGACGGUAUCUAACCAGAAAGCCACGGCUAACUACGUG